GAGGUUAAGCGACUAAGCGUACACGGUGGAUGCCCUGGCAGUCAGAGGCGAUGAAGGACGUGCUAAUCUGCGAUAAGCGCCGGUAAGGUGAUAUGAACCGUUAUAACCGGCGAUUUCCGAAUGGGGAAACCCAGUGUGACUCGUCACACUAUCAUUAACUGAAUCCAUAGGUUAAUGAGGCGAACCGGGGGAACUGAAACAUCUAAGUACCCCGAGGAAAAGAAAUCAACCGAGAUUCCCCCAGUAGCGGCGAGCGAACGGGGAGGAGCCCAGAGCCUGAAUCAGCAUGUGUGUUAGUGGAAGCGUCUGGAAAGGCGCGCGAUACAGGGUGACAGCCCCGUACACAAAAGCGCAUGUGCUGUGAGCUCGAUGAGUAGGGCGGGACACGUGGUAUCCUGUCUGAAUAUGGGGGGACCAUCCUCCAAGGCUAAAUACUCCUGACUGACCGAUAGUGAACCAGUACCGUGAGGGAAAGGCGAAAAGAACCCCGGCGAGGGGAGUGAAAAAGAACCUGAAACCGUGUACGUACAAGCAGUGGGAGCACCCUUUGGGGUGUGACUGCGUACCUUUUGUAUAAUGGGUCAGCGACUUAUAUUCUGUAGCAAGGUUAACCGAAUAGGGGAGCCGGAGGGAAACCGAGUCUUAAUUGGGCGUUAAGUUGCAGGGUAUAGACCCGAAACCCGGUGAUCUAGCCAUGGGCAGGUUGAAGGUUGGGUAACACUAACUGGAGGACCGAACCGACUAAUG
rnacentral:rRNA from 1 species